GCUGAGCUGGGUUGGGAAGAAAGUCCCGGAAGUAGCAUCAUUUAAUCGACAUUGAUGUGAAUUUCCAGAAAGGCCGACAUAUUCAUACUCAAAUGUAAACAGAUAAAAUCCAGUUUGAAUGUAUUUUAUUUAUUCCCAUGAUUACUAUUCCUAUUAUUAAGCUCUUAAUCUUUACUAGGCACCUUUCUAAGUGUUUUACUUGCAUCUUAUUUAAUCCUCACAACUCCAUGAGAGGUUAAGCAAUGGGCACUGAAUCACACAAGCAGAAAGUGGUGGAGGCAGGACUUGAACCCAGAUCUGCAUGACUUCAAAGCCCAGAACACGGCUUCCCUCUUCCCAACAUUCAGGACAGAACUGACUGUCAAAGUAGGCAAAAUUUAUUUAUGUCAGAAUCCAAUGGAAAAAAAUAGUCUCUCGUUUUAGGGGUAUCCCUGAUGUAUUCCAGCUUCCAAGUACUGAUUCCCUCCUAAAAGGCAAUUCAGGUCAGACAUACAGCACAACAGCUCACCUGACAGAACCUGGAAUGCAGAAGUGGAAGGAUUAGCAAGAAUGGACCAAAUGUUUGAUUAAUUUGAAUCAGUCAAACUAAAAUUGGUACAUUGUACAUGCCUACUCUGGACACUGCUUAGUGGGGGAGAUAAUGUUCGAGAUACAGAGAUGGCUAAGAAAUAGUCCAUAUCCUCUGAGAACAUAAAAGAGUAGAGGGGGAGACAAACAUUUACAAAAGUAUCUCUGAGAUGAGGAAAAAUAUGGUUUAAAAAAAGGCAAAAAUACUAAGAGUGGGAGUUGGAAGAGGUAGACCUAAAUGACUCCUUGGAAGAUUUGAAAGGGUUUUCUGGCCAGGUGUGGUGGUUCAAGCCUAUAAUCCCAGUACUUUUGAAGGCUGAGGAGGGAGGAUCGCUUGGGCCCAGGAGUUCGAGGUUGCAAUGAGCUAUGAUUGCGCCAGUGCAUUCCAGCCUUGGUGACCGAGUGAGACCCUGUCUCAAAAUUUAAUUAAUUAAUUAUUAUUAUUAUUAUUUGAGGUGGAGUUUCGCUCUUGUUGUCCAGGACGGAGUGCAGUGGUGCGAUCUUGGCUCACCGCAACCUCUGCCUCCCGGGUUCAAGCAAUUCUCCUGCCUCAGCCUCCCGAGUAGCUGGGAUUACAGGCAUGUGCCACCACACAUGGCUAAUUUUCUAUUUUUAGUAGAGAUGGAGUUUCUCCAUGUUGGUCAGGCUGGUCUCGAACUCCCAACCUCAGGUGAUCCAUCCACCUUGGCUUCCCAAAGUGCUGGGAUUACAGGUGUGAGCCACCGCGCCCGGCAAUUAAUUUUUAAAAAGAAAGGGUUUUCUGUGGAGGUGGCAGCUGAACUGGACUUUAAGUAUUGAUAGGAUUUCAACAGACACAUAUGAGAAGGGGGGUUAGAUAGGGAAGAAAGGGAAUUACAGAGAGAAGCAAUAGCAAGAACAAAGACUUGGGUCAUGGGGGGAAGUGCAGGGCAUGCUGAAAACUUGUGUUCUUGGCUAGAUGGAAUAUAAGGUUCACCAAGGGCAUAGGCAGGAGAUAAGGCUGGCAUUAGAGGGUAGAGAGCCUUGGACACCAGGCUAAAGGGUUAGAACCCCACUCGGCAAUAGGAAUCAUUUAGGAUUUUCACUUGUAAGGAGUAAUGUUUAAAAGUAUGCUUUAUAAUGACAUCUGUCAGUGAUAGUUGAAGAAGGUUUGCUAAUUUCCAGGCAAAAGAACACUGAGGCCAGGUGCAGUGGUCUCAUGCCUGUAAUCCUAACACUUUGGGAGGCCAAGCAGGAGAAUGGUUUAAGGCCAGGAGUUUGAGACCAGCCUGGUCAACAGAGCAAGAUGCUGUCUCUACCAAAAAAAAAAAAAAAAAAAAAAAAAAAAAAAAAAAAAAAAAAGAGAGAGAGAGAGAGAGAAAGGAACAGUGAGGCUGGCCUAAGGAGUUGGUGGUGGGCAGAUAAAGAGAGGGCAGAUGUACUAUACAGUGAACAUGGGGGACCUGGAAACUGGCUGGAUAUGGUACUGAGGAGCAGGGAGAGAUUAUGUGGUGAAACUCCACACAGAGGCGUGGGCACUAACUAAACUUAUUGAAUAUCACCACUUUCUGGUAGUUUCCUUAUCUCUAAAAAUGGACAUAGUAAAUCAGCCUUACACGGUUAUUGUGGAAAGACUGGAUUUGAUUCUGCAUGUAAGGUACCUGGCAAAUAAAGCAGGCACUCAGUAUGUGGCAGCUAUUAUUUUUAUGGGUUUGAGCAUGAUGACUAAAAGUUUGAUGAUGACAUUGACCAAAGUAGGAAACACAGUGGGAGGAGCGGGUUUUUCUCUUUGUCUGUGUGUGGCAGUGGGGAUGGUGGGGGAAACUGGCUAACAAAUUCAGUUUGAGAUCUGUGGAAUUUGAGGAAUCGCAUCCAGGUAGAGCUGUCUAGGAGGCAACUACAUAAUUUGGGUCUGGAAUUCCAUUUGGGCUAUGAAUCAGCAAGAUAAAGGAGAAAACUGAAGCCACAGGAUCAGGUGAGAAAACCCAGAGGGAGGGAAGAGCUAGGAGAGUGAUGGUUGAGACACAUGAACAUGGCCUGCAGGCCUGCGGGAUCCCAGCCCUCACUGAGAGAGGAGAAUCAGGAAAGGGCGAACCAUGCAGCCGGGAGAAGACAGCCUCAGGCGGAAGGGCAGGGACCUGCACCCCAGGCUACCACGAGGUGAAGAAAAGGCUUUUGAUAGGGCUUUAAAGUUGCCUAAGACCCCGAAGACUGCCAUUUCAGGAGUGAGGAGCUGGACCCCAGAAUUCAAGAUGCUGAGAGGUACAUGAGAGUCAAUAGACACUUCUCAGCACUCUAAAGUCUGAUGGGGACUGGGCGUGGUGGCUCACGCCUGUAAUCUCAACACUUUGGGAGGCUGAGGUGGGCAGAUCACCUGAGGUCAGAGUUCGAGACCAGCCUGGCCAACAUGGUGAAACCCCAUCUCUACUAAAAAUACAAAAAAAAUUAGCCGGGCGUGGUGGCGGGCGCCUGUAAUCCCAGCAACUCUGGGGGCUGAGGCAGGAGAAUCACUUGAACCUGGGAGGUAGAGGUUGCAGUGAGCCAAGAUUGUGCCACUGCGCCCCAACCUGGGCAACAGAGCAAGACUUCGUCUCAAAAAAAAAAAAAAAUAAUGGUGAAGGAAGGAGAAAAGAAUAUGGUAGUUUGAGGAUAAUGGAAUUCUUUUUCUUUUUUCUUGUGUAGAAGAGAUUUAAGUAUGUUUUUGGCAGAGGGAAGAAAUUACUACUCUAUUAAUGGGAGGCAGCAAUGGCAUAAUGCAAAGGUUAGGGGAGGAAAGAAGGACAAAGUGCUUUUGAAAGGUCAUUCUCAACAAGGAGGGGGAAAAUAAUCUCUCAGAGACAGGAAUUUAGGAAGAGAGGGAGAUAGAGGAAGAUACUAAAGAGUUACAAAAAAAUUACUUUGGAAGCUUGCGCAGGUUGGCCUAGAAACCUCUAUGAACAAGAGCAGCAACAGUGGGGUUAGAGGAAAGUGGAGAAGAUUGGGAAUUAUCCCUAUGGGAAAUUGGUCCCUCUCUGCCUUUCAAUUAAGUUGUGUGCCCCAGGGGAGUUGUGAGGGUACUUGGAAGGGAAUGAUGAAGGAUUUAGGGAAAAGGUGGAGCUGAGAGUUGGAGGGUCAGAUAUAAUCUAUUACAAUGGCAACAAUUAAAAUGAUAAUAUCCAAUAUUGGCAAGGAUGUUAUCAUAUACUGAGGUAUAAUUUUUCUGGAAGGCCAAUUUGGCAAAAUGUAUUAAAAUCUUUUCAAAUGCGUAUACUUCGUGGCCCUCUAUUUGCAGUUCUAAGUAUUCAAUCUAAGGAAAUAAAAGAUAUGUACAGAUAUGUUCAGUGCUCUUUAUUUAUUUGAAACAGAGUCUCACUCUGUUGCCCAGGCUGGAGAACAGUGGUGCGAUCAUGGUUCACUGAAGCCUUGACCUCCCAGGCUCAUAUGAUCCUCCCACCUCAGCCUCCUGAAUAGGUGGGACCACAGGCAUUCUCUACCACUCUCGGCUAAUUGUUUUAUUUUUUGUAGAGACAGGGUCUCCUUAUGUUGCCCAGGCUGGUCUUACUCUUGGGAUCAUAUAAUCCUCCCACCUCAGCCUCCCAAAGUGUUGGGAUUACAAGCACAGGCCACCACACCUGGACUCACUCGGUACUAUUCCUGAUAGCUAAAAAAAAAAAAAAAAAAAAAAAAAAGAGGAAACAAUCAAAUUUUCAACAAGGCAGUAGAAUACAGUACAUGGUUAGAAGAUAAUACUUAUCAGGCACUAAAAAUGUCGAAAAGUAUUUAUUGGCAUGAUCAAAUGAUCAUGACAUUAGUAAGUGUAAAAGAAAACAUAAUACAUAAAAUAUAAGUAUAUUCCUAUUCUUUUAAAUACCUACCUGUCUACAUACACAGAUACAUGCAUACACAUAUUUAGAGAGAGGGAGGGAAGGAGAGAGAGAGGUAUCUGGCUUGAGCAGCUAGGGAAGUAGUGUGACCAUUAGCUAGGACAAAGAAUUUAGGAGAAAUUAGCAGUGUCGGUGCAGAAAAUACAGAGUUCCUGUUAGGUUUAACCUGUGAAAUAUCCUGGGGAUAUGCCACAAGCGUGGCUGCACACAUAGGUCUGAAGCUCAAGAGAGAGAUUUCAGCUAUAGACAUCAGGAGCCAUCAGCCUUUAGAGGUUGCUUAAAACUUAGGAGUAGAUGAUACUACCCUGAAAAGGAGUAAAGAAGAGAGGGCAGCCGAAGACAGACCGCCUCCCCCCAUCCUCAGCAAUUAAACAAUACUAUUUACAGGGUGGGCAAAAGGAGUAGAGCCUGCAAAGAAUAGUCUCUAAAUUGCUAGCAAUCUAUAGUUCUACUACCCCAGCCGAGUACUGGAAACAUGUAACCUUGUUUCCACUUUAUUGAUAAAAUGCACAGGAGCUCUCCUCCAUCACCUUUCCUCACUCAAGGGUCUGUGUAUAAUUCUGACUCAUGCCUUUAACCCUUCUGCCUAAUUCAGAGGCGACUUCUCACCUCCUUGUAAAGGCCAACCAAUUCCUUGAAUCCGCUAACUUCUCAAUUGUCUCCCUCUGAUGGUGUACUCUGAGAUGUUCUCUUUAUCAAACAUUUUCAGCAUCCCCUGUGCCACUAGCUUUGUUUCCUUUACUUACAAAUACGCCAGGAUUUUCUCGAUCCUGAGAACUCUAACUGGCAUGAUUGUCUCCAAUAUUUCCUGCUGUUUCCUCCCUAUAGUGCCAAACUUCUCCAAUGCAUGGUCUACACUCACUCCACAGCCCUCUUCCUUAUAAACCACGGCAAUGUCAAGCAACUCCCUAAACUGAAACUGCCCCCUCAAAAGUUACUGGUAAUCUCCUUAUCUUAAAAUCCAGUGGGUUUCAUUUGGCCAUCACAGUCUUUGAUCCUUCUGCAAAUUUGAUGACGCUGACCAUCUUUCUUUCUUGAAAACUCUUUCCAUUUUGGUUCAAUUAACACUUACCGGUUCCCCUUUGGUUCAAUAAACAUUGACUGAACACCUCUUAGGUGCUAAAAUAAAAAAGAUACAAUACUUGAUAUCGGAGUGUGAGAAGUUUUAACCUAGUUGGGAAGUGUCAAUGAAUUUCACAACAGAGAUCUUUGCCCUGUUGAGAAAGGCUGAAGUGGUAGAUGCAAACUCUGUGAGUUGAGGAGUUCAGCCAACUUACAAUGGGAAGAGAGGGAGAGGAAAUAGCAAACGUAAUUGAUAUUGUCAAGAAAUUUACUGGAGAAGAGAAAAAGAAAACUUUCUAGAAAAUGCCUAUAAGUGGCUAUAGGACAAUGGAGCAGUGUUUUCAGAAUGUGGAGAGGCUUCAGCAUGUUCUUAGAAUGAAGAGAAGUGCAAGUAGACAAGAAGAAGUUGAAAACAGAGGAGAGAGAGAAGAUAAUGGAUGGGGCAAAGUCCUGGAAGUACCAGGAAGUGUUGGGAUGCAUAUCACAGAGCUGCUAUGAACAGAGGGAGGGCGCUCUUCCACUACAUCGUACUGAAGCAUGUAUGAUUUGAGGGUGAAAAAGAGUUCCUCCUUUGGUACUAUACUGGAGAGGUUAUAGAUAGGUGGCCCAAAUACUUGGCCUAAAGAUGUGGUUUUUUUUUUUGAUCUGCAAAGAAUUUUAAAGUAAUUGGAACUUGUUGCUAACACUUACAGAUCAUGAGAUUUCAAAUAAAAAUCUGUAUUACCAGCUUCUUAAAAACUAGAUGAGUAGGAUCUUAAGAAGGGGAUGGGCACGUUCUUCCUUAUAGCUAUCGUUGCACGUAUGUAUCUUUACUAUAUGAGGGAAUAGACUUAUGCAAAUGAAGGGAUUUGUCCAAGAUGACACUGUUAAUUAAAGACAAGGUUAGGUCUAGAAAUCAGGUCUCCUAACUCCAACUCCAGUGCUCUUUCCCUUAUAUCUCAGUGUGACAUAUCACCCCUUAUCUCUCUUGAGCACUAUCCCAUAUUGUUAAUUGCCUGUUAGGCAUUUCUUCCAGUUAGGGUGGAUCAAAAAUCCUGUGGCCACAUACAACACACAACAAUAUACAUAACCAUAACAACAUACUUCAUAUCUAUUUUGGCAAUAAGUCCUGUUAACUUGUCCUUCCAAAUGUUUUUUGGGGGUGAGAUGCAGUGGCUCACGCCUGUAAUCCCAACACUUUGGGAGGUUGAGGAGGGAGGAUCACUUGAAACCAAGAGUCCAAGACCAGCCUGGGGAACAUGACAAGACUCUGUUCUACAAAAUUUAAAAAUUAGCCAGAUACAGUGGUGUGCACCUGUAGUCUCAACUACUUGGGAGGCUGAGACGGGAAGAUCGCUCGAGCCCAGGAGUUCAAGGCUGCAGUGAGCUAUGAUCAUGCUCGCUGCACUCCAGCCUAGGUGACAAAGUGAGACUCUGUCUCAAAAAAAAAAAAGUCUUUUUAAUCUAGGCCUUUCUUUGGCAACCACUUCUACGACCCUAGUGGAAGUGGACAAACUUAUUAUCUUAAUACGGUUUUGCCUUCAGCCUCUGAAAGACUCAUAGAGCCUUAUAGUUGAAAAGAACCUCAGAGGUUAUCUAUAUCCAAACUUCAGCUGAAGACAGAAUUGUUUCUAUAUUACUUCUGAUCCUGACAAUGGUCAGCCAGCUGCUGUGCAGGGCACUCCCUACCUUCAGAGGCAGCUCAUUUCACUAGCAGACACCAGGGUAAUUACAAAGUUCUGUCACUCACCUAUGAAACAUGUUUACUAACAUGCCAGACACAGUGCUUGGGACACUGGAUAUAUAGCUGCACAGGGUCCCCAUUGGCCUUAAGUAACUUUCAGUUACUUGAGUCUCUUCAUCUCUAACAUGGAGAUUAUUGAAGCCUUCUUGUGAGAAUCACCUGGUAUAAAGUGUGUAGAAAUGCUCUUUAACUAAGGGCAAUACAUGUAAGGCUUUCCCCUCCAGCUCCCUCCUCUUUUUUUUUUUUUUUUUUUUUUUUUUGAUUGAAGACUGGGUCUUGCUCUGUCCCCCAGGCUGGAGUGUAGUGGUGUGAUCUCGGCUCACUACAGCCUAGACCUCCUGGGCUCGAGCAAUCCUCCCACCUCAGCCUCCCAAGUAGCUGGGACUACAGGUGCACGCCACUGUGCCCGGCUAAUUUUUGUAUCUUUAGUAGAGAUGGGGUUUCACCAUGUUGCCCAGGCUGGUCUCGAACUCCUGGACUCAAGUGAUCCACCCGCCUCAGCCUCCCAAAGGCAAGGGAUUACCGGCAUUAGCCACCACGCCCGGCCAGCUUUCCCUCUCUUCAACUAUGUAAUGUACUGGGGUGGGAGGCUGUGAUUCCAUUAUCAUCUUUUAAAUUACAUUUUAUACAUACAAAAGAAUAAUUAUAAUGUAUACAUGUGUUAUAUACUUAAUUAGGUUAAUACCCAUAAACCUACCUUUUAUCCCAAAAACUGCACCAUUACCAAUGGCAUCCACCUGUGUGUUUUUUCUCCUCCCAUCCCCAAUCUCUCUACGGUAACUAUUAAUACAUUUUGUGCUUAUCAUUCCUUGCUUUUCCCAAAGUUUUAUCAUAUAUGUAAACACAAUAUUGCUUAAUUUUGCUUGUUUUGGAACUCCUGGGCUCAGGUGAUCUUCCCGCCCUGGCCUCACAGAGUGCUGGGAUUACAGGCGUGAGCCACUGAGCCUGGCCUGUUCCUAAGAUUGAUCCACUCCGAUUAUGUACUUUGUACCUAUUUUCCAAGCCUCAUCUUCUUCACGCAGCCUUCAGAUCACAGGAGCACAAAGUGAU
rnacentral:lncRNA from 1 species